CCAUGAACCGCGCAUGUCUGUGCGCUGUUAUAGAUGAAUCAUUAAUAAACAAAUAUUUCACUGGAUGAACAUCGGCCGAAAUGGUUGGGAUUUAUAUUUGCAUAAUUGCCGUGGUUAUACUUGCUCGCGAUGCUCUGUGUUUAAGUUGUAACAAAGCCCAAGCGAAUACAGUCGAUGGGGCCGAAGGUUUCUCAGUUCUGUACAUUGCUGGCCUACCGAUAAUAAUCUUCUUGGCGUCAAUUUUGUACUUACGCUACGGUAGAGGGACAUGGCGAAACAUGAACAACCCACAUGCAGGGAGCGAUCCCGCAAAUCCACAGCCAGGGAGCGGUCCCGCUCAUCAACAGCCAGGGUGCGGUCCCGCAAAUCCACCGCUAGGGAGCAGUUGCGAAAACUCGUCGGACAAUCCCGGCAGCAUCCGAAUAACAAAUUAAAAACAACCACACAAAUAUGGUUGUUCAAAAGUGUAAAAUUAAAAGGAACUUUAGAUAUUUAAGACUUUAAUAAUGGGUUCAUUCCACCUUCACGUUGGUAUAUUAAUACACAGUACUUUUGGUGUAUAUUAUAUCCUGCGUAUACUUGUACAAGUGUUAAAUUUAAAAAUAGCAAUUCCAAAAUAUUAAUCUACCGAUAAGCAGAAGAGAUCACAAUCACAAGAAUUGAGUUUGUAGUAUUGUGUGUCGUUAUUAUGUUACAAAUAAGUUGUAUUCAAAAUAAACAAACCAAUAUAUACAAAAACAUUAUAUAAACAGUAAUACACGAUUUGUAACCACUGAUGAAUACUUUCCAUUUUCAUUGUGUGACAGCUUUCCGUUAAUUUAGUAUUAUUCUAACAUGGUGUUUAUUUAUUCAACGGUGACGUGACUUGGUAUUUGAAUUAUACAAAGAUUUAUAUACUUUGUGUGAAUGUAUAUUAAAAAAACACUCUUUCAAUUUGAUUUAUUAGUUGUAGCUUAAACGAUUGUUUUACUUUAGUUUCAAUAAUCAACUGUUACUUUUUGCUGUGUCAUUUUGUAUUUUUGUAAAUAUAGUUCAGUAUUUCUUGUCUUGAAAGACAAUUUCGUUCAAGUUUUACAAUAUUUAAAAAAGGCAAUUUGACAUGUUCUCAAAUAUUUCUCCCUUUUUGUUGUCUUCGUCAAGAUUUGUUCUUAAACCAUUCAUUAUGUUACUUUUUGCGGUGAAUAAUGUUUUUGUGUAUUUUUAAUUCAUUUAAAGUGUAGUAUAUGUUUCAAUGUUGAUUCAAAUCGGAUUUGAAACCUUUGAUGAGUUACGUGAAUAACAAUUGAGUAUGUGUUAUAUCCCAUUUAUUUCUAGUAAUUAAGACAAACAAUAUAAUAAAAUGGAAAUGCAUGACGAGGAGGAAAUUAUGAAUUUAGAUAAUAUAUCGGUUUUAGUGCCAAAGAAAUGCUUUCACUUAUUGCACAAAACAGGCCGACAUUAUGGCAGAGAGAAAUUCCUAUAAUCUCACAAAAUCCAAGCAAAUGAAAACUCGACACACCCGAUAAGAUCCCGUUAUAUUAAUUGAUCCUCUUUACGUCCAUCCCAACCUCUAACACCACGCUGAUUGAUAUUUUUAGAGCUGAUUGAUUGAUUGUAUCAUUUUAUGUCUAAACCGGUUAAGAAUAAAAGGCUUCACUCAACUAAAUGAUAGUUGAAGAAAACUGUAGUAAUGACUCUCCGAAGAUUCCUUAGCAAAAUUAAAAUGUGUGUGUAUACAAACGACCUCCAUGUUAGUCGAAUUUCAAAUGAUGUUUGGUUCUAUAUAUGUUGAUGCCAUUUAUCUUAUCUUUGAAUUGCAUUUUUACCCGCCUCUUUUAUACAUCUAUGUACUGUAUUUCUCCUAUUGAAAAUGAUUAUCCGUUCUACCUUCUAUAUGGUGUUGGCACUUAAAAUAUGUCAUCUAUAUUGUAUAAUCAAGAAAGAAUAUGUAAUAAGAACCAUAUCAUAUGUAAUGUUAUUCAUCAUUUUUAUAUAUUAUUGCCCGCCUCGCCUAUACAUUUACGUACUUUUUUGCUCGUGUAUUGAUGUAAAACACAAAUUGAGUUGAAAUAAAAGGUUUUUGACAUAA